rnacentral:rRNA from 1 species
AUUGAACGCUGGCGGCAUGCCUAACACAUGCAAGUCGAACGGGGCAGCAAUGCCUAGUGGCGGACGGGUGAGGAAUACGUAGGAAUCUGCCCUUAAGUGGGGGAUAACCAGGGGAAACCCUGACUAAUACCGCAUGAUCUCUUCGGAGCAAAGAGGGGGACCGCAAGGCCUCUCGCUUCUGGAUGAGCCUACGUCUGAUUAGCUAGUUGGUAGGGUAAAGGCCUACCAAGGCGACGAUCAGUAACUGGUCUGAGAGGAUGAUCAGUCACACCGGAACUGAGACACGGUCCGGACUCCUACGGGAGGCAGCAGUGGGGAAUAUUGGACAAUGGGCGCAAGCCUGAUCCAGCAAUGCCGCGUGUGUGAAGAAGGCCUUCGGGUUGUAAAGCACUUUAGCCUGGAAAGAAAAAACUUUGGUUAACACCCAAAGUCUUGACGGUACCAGGAGAAAAAGCCCCGGCUAACUUCGUGCCAGCCGCCGCCGUAAAAC